rnacentral:rRNA from 1 species
GAAACAGUUGCUAAGACUGGAUAGGAAAUAAAAAGGCAUCUUUUUAUUUUUAAAAGACCUUUUUCGGAAGGUAUGCUUAAAGAGGGGCUUGCGUCACAUUAGUUAGUUGGCAGGGUAAAGGCCUACCAAGACUAUGAUGUGUAGCUGGACUGAGAGGUUGAACAGCCACAUUGGGACUGAGACACGGCCCAAACUCCUACGGGAGGCAGCAGUAGGGAAUUUUCGGCAAUGGAGGAAACUCUGACCGAGCAACGCCGCGUGAACGAUGAAGUAUUUCGGUAUGUAAAGUUCUUUUAUUGAAGAAGAAAAAAUAGUGGAAAAACUAUCUUGACGAUAUUCAAUGAAUAAGCCCCGGCAAACUAUGUGCCAGCAGCCGCGGUAAUACAUAGGGGGCGAGCGUUAUCCGGAAUUAUUGGGCGUAAAGGGUGCGUAGGCGGUUUAAUAAGUCUAUAGUUUAAUUUCAGUGCUUAACACUGUCCUGCUAUAGAAACUAUUAGACUAGAGUGAGAUAGAGGCAAGUGGAAUUCCAUGUGUAGCGGUAAAAUGCGUAAAUAUAUGGAGGAACACCAGAGGCGUAGGCGGCUUGCUGGGUCUUUACUGACGCUGAGGCACGAAAGCGUGGGGAGCAAACAGGAUUAGAUACCCUGGUAGUCCACGCCGUAAACGAUGAGUACUAAGUGUCGGGAUUACUCGGUACUGAAGUUAACACAUUAAGUACUCCGCCUGAGUAGUACGUACGCAAGUAUGAAACUUAAAGGAAUUGACGGGACUCCGCACAAGCGGUGGAUCAUGUUGUUUAAUUCGAAGAUACACGAAAAACCUUACCAGGUCUUGACAUACUCUGCAAAGCUAUAGCAAUAUAGUGGAGGUUAUCAGAGAUACAGGUGGUGCAUGGUUGUCGUCAGCUCGUGUCGUGAGAUGUUAGGUUAAGUCCUAAAACGAGCGCAACCCUUGUCAUUAGUUGCCAGCAUGUCAUGAUGGGCACUUUAAUGAGACUGCCAAUGAAAAAUUGGAGGAAGGUGAGGAUCACGUCAAAUCAUCAUGCCCCUUAUGAUCUGGGCUACAAACGUGAUACAAUGGCUGUUACAAAGAGUAGCUGAAACGCAAGUUUAUAGCCAAUCUCAUAAAAGCAGUCUCAGUUCGGAUUGAAGUCUGCAACUCGACUUCAUGAAGUUGGAAUCGCUAGUAAUCGCGAAUCAGCAUGUCGCGGUGAAUACGUUCUCGGGGUUUGUACACACCGCCCGUC